rnacentral:rRNA from 1 species
UACAGGAGGUGCAAACGUUGCUCGGAAUUAUUGGGCGUAAAGCGCACGUAGGCGGUUUGUUAUGUCGGAUGUGAAAGCCCUUGGCUCAACUGAGGAAGUGCAUCCGAAACUGGCAAGCUAGAGUAUGUAAGAGGGUCGCGGAAUUCCCGGUGUAGAGGUGAAAUUCGUAGAUAUCGGGAGGAACACCGGUGGCGAAGGCGGCGACCUGGGACAAUACUGACGCUGAGGUGCGAAAGCGUGGGGAGCAAACAGG